rnacentral:rRNA from 1 species
AUGAAGGCUUCGGGUCGUAAAGCCUGUUGUAUGGGAAGAACAGCUAGAAUGGAAAUGAUUUUAGUUUGACGGUACCAUACCAGAAAGGGACGGCUAAAUACGUGCCAGCAGCCGCGGUAAUACGUAUGUCCCGAGCGUUAUCCGGAUNUAUUGGGCGUAAAGCGAGCGCAGACGGUUUAUUAAGUCUGAUGUGAAAGCCCGGAGCUCAACUCCGGAAUGGCAUUGGAAACUGGUUAACUUGAGUGCAGUAGAGGUAAGUGGAACUCCAUGUGUAGCGGUGGAAUGCGUAGAUAUAUGGAAGAACACCAGUGGCGAAGGCGGCUUACUGGACUGCAACUGACGUUGAGGCUCGAAAGUGUGGGUAGCAAACAGGAUUAGAUACCCUGGUAGUCCACACCGUAAACGAUGAACACUAGGUGUUAGGAGGUUUCCGCCUCUUAGUGCCGAAGCUAACGCAUUAAGUGUUCCGCCUGGGGAGUACGACCGCAAGGUUGAAACUCAAAGGAAUUGACGGGGACCCGCACAAGCGGUGGAGCAUGUGGUUUAAUUCGAAGCAACGCGAAGAACCUUACCAGGUCUUGACAUCCUUUGAAGCUUUUAGAGAUAGAAGUGUUCUCUUCGGAGACAAAGUGACAGGUGGUGCAUGGUCGUCGUCAGCUCGUGUCGUGAGAUGUUGGGUUAAGUCCCGCAACGAGCGCAACCCUUAUUGUUAGUUGCCAGCAUUCAGAUGGGCACUCUAGCGAGACUGCCGGUGACAAACCGGAGGAAGGCGGGGACGACGUCAGAUCAUCAUGCCCCUUAUGACCUGGGCUACACACGUGCUACAAUGGCGUAUACAACGAGUUGCCAGCCCGCGAGGGUGAGCUAAUCUCUUAAAGUACGUCUCAGUUCGGAUUGUAGUCUGCAACUCGACUACAUGAAGUCGGAAUCGCUAGUAAUCGCGGAUCAGCACGCCGCGGUGAAUACGUUCCCGGGUCUUGUACACACCGCCCGUCACACCAUGGGAGUUUGUAAUGCCCAAAGCCGGUGGCCUAACCUUUUAGGAAGGAGCCGUCUAAGGCAGGACAGAUGACG